CAGCAAGUCCAAUACUGGCUGAUCGGCAAUGAGGAUGGAGAGGAUAGCAAUCCCGGCAGUCGCCCUACUGACGGUAAAAGCUUUUCACCAUCCGACUGUUCUUUCCUUUGCCACAGUGCCUUGUGGCAAUGUAGAAGGUGGAGUCCCUCCUAGCUGCAUCUCUGAAUGAAGAUAUUCUGGACCAGUGUCCCCAGCUCCCUGGUUACUGGUGAGACACCUCUGCUUCUAGGAAUCCCAACAUACAACAUGGCUACUGACCUCCUCAGUUGAUAUCUUCAAAUCCAGGGGAAGUGACUUGUUAGACCUGUGAGAGUAAAAACCCAGCUGUCCUGGAGGCCACAGCGAUGAAAGGAAGCAACAACAGCUUUAAAAGAUACAUAUCUCCGCAUUUGGACUAGUGCUAACUCCUAAAAGUAUUAAUUAGGUGGUUAUUAAGUGGCGUACUAGUUACCCUUCUCAUUGUGGUAUGAAGGACCUGACAAAACCAUUUUAUGGAAAGAAUGUUUUUCUUGGCUCACAGUUCCAGGCUACAGUCUGUCAUGGGGACAGCAUGGCAACAGGAGCCCGGGCUCCUGAUUCCAUUGCUUCUGCAGCUAGGAAGCCAAGAACUGUAGCCCACAGUAUGGUGCCCCCAUAUUUAGAGCGAUGCUUUCCACCUCAGUUAACACAAUUGUUUUAGCGAGGAGGCUGUCUUAAAUUGUCCUUAGUGUACAUAGUCUUUAUUUAUCAAGCUCAGGCACUCUAUUUGCUAUUUCUCACUAUAUCAACCUCCCCUCCCCCAAAUCAAAGAUAAAUUUCAGUCUUUCAAUUUCCCAGGUCAAACUUCAGCCCAUUUCAAGACUCCUGCUCAAUGUCCACGACCCACUUGAGACCUCCUUAAAAUGUAUGCUGUCUUUUUGUGCUUUACUCUCUGUGUGAUGGGUAAGGGGAUAUUCUUUUAGAAAGAACAAAGAAUUGUGUGUCCAAAAUUAAACAUAGAAAUUAAUUUUUAUUUGUAUUGGGGGGAAAAGGAAUGAAAGCUGCCAGAUACCACAAAUGUUAGAAAUUCCAUAAAAUUACCAGAGUAGUUUUCUUGCUUCACUAUCCAAUAUUUUGCAGCAUCCUUUUUCAGCUACAUAGGUAUUGAUGAUCUUUUGGUAAGCCAAACAGUAUGUAAUAUUUUCUGUAGAGAGAUUAGAAAGACAACCAAUUCAUUGUUGGUAAUGUAAUGUAAAUUAUUCUCAAUUUUUUCUUAAAUAAACUGCUUUAGACCUACUGUAAUAUUGGACUAAUAGCUUAUAUUGUAUAAAUCUAGGCACUCUGAUGAAUUUUACUUUCUAUAAUUCCAAGACAAAAAAGAAACAAUAGAAUAUGAUAUAUGUAUUUUUGAAAUUUAAUAUUAUAGUUAUAAUGUGAUUGGUGCAUUGUUAAAUAUAUUCCUGACAGAAUCAAUGAAAACUGGAUUCUGUGCUUUCAGUUUGAUAUAUCUCAUCGAGGAUUUUCAUACAAUUUAUUCUAGUUCCAUGAAUUUUAAAAAAACAUUUCUCUCCACCUUCAGUCAUCUUAGUAGUCCUGGCAUGAUAUGCCCAGUGUACCUGGGCAUAUGUAAGUUGGCACUAGGGCAAAACAGUAUUUGAAAAAAAUAUUUCUUCUCCAUCUCCUCUCCCUCCCCUUCCUCCCCCUCCUCCUCCACUCCCUUUCUUUUCCUUCUUCUAUGUGAGCCUUGAACUCGUGGUGAUUAUUGUUUCAGAUUCUCAUGCACUUAAGUUAUGGGUGUGAGCUACCAUAACCAGUUGCAAGUAUUUUUAUGUAGAUAAAGAUGACAAUGAUUUAACUACAUAAGGAAGUGACUGAAAAACUGUAUAAUCAUACCCUCUCUAAACCCAAAAUAAAAUUUUCUCCAGUUCAUAUUUCCUUUAUAAAGGGGUCUUGAGUGCCCACUUCCAUGGCAGAGUGCAAUAAAGAAAGUAGAGGGAAGAGGCUGUGAUCCUAAGCAAUUAAUAUUUUACUUUUCAGAUCUGAUUAAAACAGUUAUAAAUUGAAACUAAAAAUAUUUUUACCUCUCUAGGCCUUUCCACAUGCUGAUGGCCCUGAUUGCCAGCUGACAGGCCUUUGGAAGGUCACUGGAUCAUGAUAGUGCUAUUGUAAAUUUAUUAAUUGAUAAUCAAUUAAUUGAUUAAUCUGCUGAAGAAUUUCUGCCAGAGAGGGAUAGUGGGAGAUGGUGCUUGAUUCCAAGAAGUAGAUCACUGGAGGUAUGCUUGUGAAGGGUAUAUCUUGUCCAAGUUCCUUUGUUUCUAUCUCUCUGAUUCUUGGAUGCUGUAAAAUGAAUAGCAUCCCUCUCCAUCCCUUUCUCCCAUGCCUUUCGUGUGUGGGUCUAGAAACACCAGAGCCAACUGACUGUAGUCUGCAAGUAUGAACCAGGAUCCAUCUUUUCUACUUUAAAGCAUUCCUCUUAGGAACUUUGUCAUGGCAAGAAAACCACAAGAUGAUGGGAAGGUUUUCCCAGGGUCUUCCUGAGACAUUGGCAUGGGCCCCUGUAAGCAUCAUUAGCUCCUGGUAAAUUCAUCUGUUCUUACAGCUCCAGCUUUAGGCUGUAGCUCCCUUUGCUCAGACUUGCAGUUGAAAAUAACACAGACAUAGGGGUUGAGCUUAGCACGUGCCUCACAUGUCCAGGUCUUUGAUUCCUGCAACACGAUGAUCCAAACCAGUCAGAGAGCUGGGAUGUGAGUGUAGUUGUCUCAGUCCAUUCCCCUGCUUGAUCUUCAGUACUAGAUGUCUAUAGCUUACUCUUUGUAUGGAAACUGCUCAAAGCUGCUCUUUAACCCUAUCCUGUCAGCCAGGCUAUUGCAAUUCACUCCUCAAUCAGGAGCCCUUCUCCCCACUGAACACCUAUUAUGGUGGAUGUCGUUGGGAACACCUGUAAUUUUCAUUGACACCCACUUUCCUUUAACUCUAUCGUGAUUGUACACUCUGUAGAGGAAGGGAAAAUGGCUGCUGUGGGAGUGUAUCUCUGGAAACAGCCAAUAAGGCUCCUUACACAAUUUAGUACAUAAAAAUUCAUAAUUCUACUGUGAUAUAUAGGGUUCAAAAAGACAAAGGCAAAAAGAGGGGGAAAUAGGUUGCAUAGUGAUAAAGCUGCAAACCCCGAAGAAGAGGGAAACAGCACCCUUCUUCUCUCCCCCUCUUUUUAUACUGCAUUAUUAGAGUUAUUAUCAGGGAGUGCUGCCACUGGAGUUUGGUUUUAAGUUGUUUGUUCACUUAGAUUUUUCAAAGCCUACAUUAAUGUGGGUUAUUAAGUGCUUCCAUCCCUCUUCUAGCUUGCUGAUCAAAGAUAGGGAGAAAGAUGGUGAAGAGGAAACGGGGAAUGUGGACCUGUUUGGAAGUAGUUCUUUGGGGGCGGUUCCAAAUAUGAGUACAUGAAUCAGUAGCAGUGGCACAAUUCUGGAAGAAAACAUGAGAUUCUGGCUGAAUUGGCACAUGUCUGUGGAAGCAGCAAGAAACAGCCAGAAUACCAUAAAAAGUUCUUUGGCGCUUUUCUCUCUAUGAAGUCACAACAAGCAAACAACAGUGAAACCAGCAAAGCUUUGCAAGGCAAACUAAUGCAGGAGCAUCAUGCCCUGUCUGCCGGAAUAUACUUAUACUUUUCCAACAUCACCUGCCUUCUUAUGUGCUUGCCUCAGCAAAACAUCCGCUCAUGUAUCUGCUUUGGCAAAAUAUCCUUUCACAUUCUGCUUCGGCAAAAUAUCCUCUCAUAAGACAGCUUCAUAAGAAAAGCACCACAUGACACAACUGAGUCUUCCGAGAAACCAGAGAUGUCUAUCUCAGCUGUUCUCUAAUGUGCAGAUGUGGCUUGACAAGACCUUGGAAAACAACAUCAGAGCACUCUUAGCACUGACUGACACAGGGCUGCUUUCCCCAAAGCAGCACUCGUCGGAUGGAGACUGACACCCUGGCAACCUUCACAUCUAUGACAGAGGACAGGAGAGAUGGCUUCCUGGAGACACAAACACUUUACUAGAGAAUUUAAACGUGCUGGAAUCAUCCCGACACUUGUCUUUUUGUAAAGUUUUAUGUUUCGCUCUUCAUCUCCUUUAUUGUUGGAGUCUAGUUUUGGUUAGAAGUUAUAAAUUCAAUUUCAUAAUUUAAUUUUUGAUUUCAGGUUUUUAAUAUAUACCACUGAUAUAUAUA
rnacentral:sRNA from 1 species